rnacentral:ncRNA from 2 species
CUGGUUGAUUCUGCCAGUAGUCAUAUGCUUGUCUCAAAGAUUAAGCCAUGCAUGUCUAAGUAUAAGCAAUUAUACCGCGAAACUGCGAAUGGCUCAUUAUAUAAGUUAUCGUUUAUUUGAUAGUACCUUACUACUUGGAUAACCGUGGUAAUUCUAGAGCUAAUACAUGCUAAAAAUCCCGACUUCGGAAGGGAUGUAUUUAUUAGAUUAAAAACCAAUGCCCUUCGGGGCUCACUGGUGAUUCAUGAUAACUCCUCGAAUCGCAUGGCCUUGUGCCGGCGAUGGUUCAUUCAAAUUUCUUCCCUAUCAACUUUCGAUGUUUGGGUAUUGGCCAAACAUGGUUGCAACGGGUAACGGAGGGUUAGGGCUCGACCCCGGAGAAGGAGCCUGAGAAACGGCUACUACAUCCAAGGAAGGCAGCAGGCGCGCAAAUUACCCAAUCCCGACACGGGGAGGUAGUGACAAUAAAUACUGAUACAGGGCUCUUUUGGGUCUUGUAAUUGGAAUGAGUACAAUUUAAAUCCCUUAACGAGGAACAAUUGGAGGGCAAGUCUGGUGCCAGCAGCCGCGGUAAUUCCAGCUCCAAUAGCGUAUAUU